CCUACGGGAGGCAGCAGUGGGGAAUUUUGGACAAUGGGCGCAAGCCUGAUCCAGCAAUGCCGCGUGAGUGAAGAAGGCCUUCGGGUUGUAAAGCUCUUUUGUCAGGGAAGAAACGGUGGGAGCUAAUAUCUCCCGCUAAUGACGGUACCUGAAGAAUAAGCACCGGCUAACUACGUGCCAGCAGCCGCGGUAAUACGUAGGGUGCAAGCGUUAAUCGGAAUUACUGGGCGUAAAGCGUGCGCAGGCGGUUUUGUAAGUCUGUCGUGAAAGCCCCGGGCUCAACCUGGGAAUUGCGAUGGAGACUGCAAGGCUUGAAUCUGGCAGAGGGGGGUAGAAUUCCACGUGUAGCAGUGAAAUGCGUAGAGAUGUGGAGGAACACCGAUGGCGAAGGCAGCCCCCUGGGUCAAGAUUGACGCUCAUGCACGAAAGCGUGGGGAGCAAACAGGAUUAGAUACCCUGGUAGUCCACGCCCUAAACGAUGUCUACUAGUUGUCGGGUUUUAAUUAACUUGGUAACGCAGCUAACGCGUGAAGUAGACCGCCUGGGGAGUACGGUCGCAAGNUUAAAACUCAAAGGAAUUGACGGCUGAGAGNGCGAGACGACGACGAGGGAGGAGG
rnacentral:rRNA from 1 species